rnacentral:rRNA from 1 species
UGGGGAAUAUUGGACAAUGGGGGGAACCCUGAUCCAGCCAUGCCGCGUGUGUGAAGAAGGCCUUAUGGUUGUAAAGCCCUUUAAGUGAGGAGGAGGCUCUCUUGGUUAAUACCCAAGACGAGUGGACGUUACUCCCAGCAUAAGCACCGGCUAACUCUGUGCCAGCAGCCGCGGUAAUACAGAGGGUGCGAGCGUUAAUCGGAUUUACUGGGCGUAAAGCGUGCGUAGGCGGUUUUUUAAGUCGGAUGUGAAAUCCCCGAGCUUAACUUGGGAAUUGCAUUAGAUACUGGGAAGCUAGAGUAUGGGAGAGGAUGGUAGAAUUCCAGGUGUAGCGGUGAAAGGCGUAGAGAUCUGAAGGAAUGCCGAUGGCGAAGGCAGCCAUCUGGCCUAAUACUGACGCUGAGGUACGAAAGCAUGGGGAGCAAACA